GUCAAAAUGAGCAAAUAAUUGAGAAGAUUGGACAACAAACAGGAGUAAAGGAGCUUAGAGGAAGACAAGUAACGUGAUGCGGAUCUUUGGCAUUUCUAUCUUCUUCCACUAGAUGGCUGUGCAACAACAUAGUGAAGACAUGUUUUGCCACUGUCUGUGUUUAAUAACACAUUCCCGGCAGCCUGUACAGGCCGGAAAAGUGAAAACAGCUAUGUGGGAACAGAGGCACCAUGAAACAAACCCCAGCAGGAUGCAAGGCAACACUUGUUCAGGAAGAUACAGU